CGUCUGCCUCUCCCUGGAGCUGCAGACAGAACAGGCUGUUUCGCCUGCCUCUUGAGCCCCUCCUCCGAUUGGCUAACUGCACUUUUAAUGACACGUGACCAGGCCUAUCACCGGUCUUAUUCUUGCGCAUUGACUCUCUCUGGUAAACACAGCUGAAAGUAACGUUAUGUUUGCAGCUAUAGAAGACUAGGCACAUAUUUACAGUCGGUGACAACAGGAUGUUUCUGAAUGCCCUCACUGCGGAGCAGACUGGAGCGAGCGCUGAUGGGCGUUGGAGUGGUACUAUAAAUUGUGCAAGAGCAGAAUGGGUUACGCUUGUUUUGACGAAUCAUCAACAGAGGAUGAGAGGAGCCUCGCAGACAAGAACAGAGAGAUGAGGAGAGAAAUAAGUGGAAGGGAAGGAGGAGAGAAAAGUCUGUGGAAUGACUCGAGUCUCACACACACACAAGCCACUGCCGUCACCCUUCAAACAAAACCAGCAGCACCUCAAACAUCAGUGAAAAGAAAUGCUGCUGUUUAACAUUCAUGGAGAAAAAGAACAUCGAAGGGAGAGAGGCCUAUCACUACAUCUCCACAGCUUCAUUUCUGUGCUUGUCUCCAACAUCAGAACAGGCUGAUUAGUGGUGCAGGAGUCUGACAGUUCGAGGAACUCAUUGGAGUCUGAUAAGACACUGUGCUCUUCAGACGAGAGGGAGGAGCUCGGAGCUUCAUGCUUACCCCCUCUUCACCUGCUGUGUGCUUUGCAGCAGACAGCACACAGGUACAGUGGAGGAAAGACGCAUAGCCUCAGGGACACGUGCUUUUUUUCCUCUCAUCUUGAUGAGUCUGACGUUUCUUCCUCAUGCGAGAACGUUGCACC